UAGACCCAUGAUGCCAAUGUAUCAUGAACCAAGGAUUAUAAUUAAUCCAUUUCUGAGCAAUUAGACUCCUUAAAAUAGAUUUUUU
rnacentral:snoRNA from 1 species